AUUGAACGCUGGCGGCAGGCCUAACACAUGCAAGUCGAGCGAGCGGCGGACGGGUGAGUAAUGUAUGGGGACUGCCCGAUAGAGGGGGUUAACUUCUGGAAACGGUAGCUUAUACCGCAUACUAUCGGCUAUCUCAUAUGGUAUUAGCUAGUGGGUGAGGUAAUGGCUCACCCAGGCGACGAUCCCUAGCUGGUCUGAGAGGAUGAUCCGCCACACUGGGACUGAGACACGGCCCAGACUCCUACGGAGGCAGCAGUGGGGAAUAGUGCACAAUGGGCGCAAGCCUGAGGCAGCCAUGCCGCGUGUAUGAAGAAGGCCCUAGGGUUGUAAAGUACUUUCAGUCGGGAGGCGUUACCGAAAGAAGAAGCACCGGCUAACUCCGUGCCAGCAGCCGCGGUAAUAC
rnacentral:rRNA from 1 species